AUCCAGCUGAUGAGUUCCAAACAGGACGUAACGAGCGUCAAACUAGAU
rfam:Schistosoma rodhaini strain Burundi genome assembly, scaffold: SROB_scaffold0001152